rnacentral:rRNA from 1 species
AACGCGAAGAACCUUACCUAGACUUGACAUCCCUUGCAUAGCUCAGAGAUGAGUGAAGUCCUUCGGGACAAGGUGACAGGUGGUGCAUGGUUGUCGUCAGCUCGUGUCGUGAGAUGUUGGGUUAAGUCCCGCAACGAGCGCAACCCUUAUCAUUAGUUGCUACCAUUAAGUUGAGCACUCUAGUGAGACUGCCCGGGUUAACCGGGAGGAAGGUGGGGAUGACGUCAAAUCAUCAUGCCCCUUAUGUCUAGGGCUACACACGUGCUACAAUGGUGAGUACAAAGAGAUGCAAGACCGCAAGGUGGAGCCAAACUCAAAAACUCAUCCCAGUUCGGAUUGUAGGCUGCAACUCGCCUACAUGAAGCCGGAGUUGCUAGUAAUCGCGAAUCAGCAUGUCGCGGUGAAUACGUUCCCGGGCCUUGUA